rnacentral:rRNA from 1 species
AAAUUCGGGCUUCUUAGAGGGACGUGCAUUCUAUUAGAUGCAGGAAGAUAGGGGCAAUAACAGGUCUGUGAUGCCCUUAGAUGUUAUGGGCCGCACGCGCGCUACACUGAUGCAUUCAACGAGUUUCCUUGGCCGAGAGGCCUGGGCCAUCUUUUGAAUGUGCAUCGUGAUAGGGAUAGAUUAUUGCAAUUAUUAAUCUUGAACGAGGAAUUCCUAGUAAACGCAGAUCAUCAAUCUGCAUUGAUUACGUCCCUGCCCUUUGUACACACCGCCCGUCGCACCUACCGAUUGGAUGGUCCGGUGAAGCCUAGGGAUUGUGACCAGCGCCUUUAUUGGUGUCGGUUGCGAGAACUUGUCUAAACCUUAUCAUCCUAGAGGAAAGGGGGAAAUCCGAACCAAUCCCUC